rnacentral:rRNA from 1 species
GACCAACGCUGGCGGUAUGCCUAACACAUGCAAGUCGAACGGACAGAACAGGGAAGCUUUUCGGAGUGGAACUGGAAAGUUAGUGGCGGAUGGGUGAGUAACGCGUGGACAACCUACCUUGUAAAGGGGAAUAACCUCGAGAAAUCGAAGCUAAUACCCCAUAAUAACCUUGCUUCGCAUGAAGUAAGGAGGAAAGGCGGCCUUAGCGCUGUCGAUACAAGAUGGGUCCGCGUCUGCUUAGCUAGUUGGUGAGGUAAAGGCUCACCAAGGCGACGAUCAGUAGCCCGCCUGAGAGGGUGAACGGCCACAUUGGGACUGAGACACGGCCCAAACUCCUACGGGAGGCAGCAGUGGGGAAUCUUCCGCAAUGGGCGAAAGCCUGACGGAGCAAUGCCGCGUGAGUGAAGAAGGCCUUCGGGUUGUAAAACUCUGUCCUUAUCGAAGAGAGAGUGUUGUAGUAACUGACAAUACUAGGACGGUAGAUGAGGAGGAAGCCCCGGCUAACUAUGUG